UACGGGGGGAGCAAGCGUUGUUCGGAUUUACUGGGCGUAAAGGGCGCGUAGGCGGUUUGCACAGUCAGACGUGAAAUUCCUGGGCUUAACCUGGGGGCUGCGUUUGAUACGUGCAGGCUUGAGUUCGGAAGAGGGUCGUGGAAUUCCCAGUGUAGAGGUGAAAUUCGUAGAUAUUGGGAAGAACACCGGUGGCGAAGGCGGCGACCUGGUCCGAUGACUGACGCUGAGGCGCGAAAGCGUGGGGAGCGAACAGG
rnacentral:rRNA from 1 species